rnacentral:rRNA from 1 species
GAGCGGAAUCAAUCCUAGCCUUGCUAGGAGGCGUCGAGCGGCGGACGGGUGAGUAAUGCAUAGGAAUCUGCCCGGUAGUGGGGGAUAACCUGAGGAAACUCAGGCUAAUACCGCAUACGUCCUACGGGAGAAAGCAGGGGCUCUUCGGACCUUGCGCUAUCGGAUGAGCUUAUGUCGGAUUAGCUGGUUGGUGAGGUAACGGCUCACCAAGGCGACGAUCCGUAGCUGGUCUGAGAGGAUGAGGGGCCACAUCGGGACUGAGACACGGCCCGAACUCCUACGGGAGGCAGCAGUGGGGAAUAUUGGACAAUGGGGGCAACCCUGAUCCAGCCAUGCCGCGUGUGUGAAGAAGGCCCUCGGGUUGUAAAGCACUUUCAGUGAGGAAGAAGGCUUGUCGGUUAAUACCCGGCAAGAAAGACAUCACUCACAGAAGAAGCACCGGCUAACUCCGUGCCAGCAGCCGCGGUAAUACGGAGGGUGCGAGCGUUAAUCGGAAUUACUGGGCGUAAAGCGUGCGUAGGCGGCUUGAUAAGCCGGUUGUGAAAGCCCCGGGCUCAACCUGGGAACGGCAUCCGGAACUGUCAGGCUAGAGUGCAGGAGAGGAAGGUAGAAUUCCCGGUGUAGCGGUGAAAUGCGUAGAGAUCGGGAGGAAUACCAGUGGCGAAGGCGGCCUUCUGGACUGACACUGACGCUGAGGUACGAAAAGCGUGGGUAGCAAAACAGGAUUAGAUACCCUGGUAGUCCACGCCGUAAACGAUGUCGACUAGCCGUUGGGGUCCUCGAGACCUUUGUGGCGCAGUUAACGCACUAAGUCGACCGCCUGGGGAGUACGGCCGCAAGGUUAAAACUCAAAUGAAUUGACGGGGGCCCGCACAAGCGGUGGAGCAUGUGGUUUAAUUCGAUGCAACGCGAAGAACCUUACCUACCCUUGACAUCGUGCGAACUUGGUAGAGAUACCUUGGUGCCUUCGGGAACGCACAGACAGGUGCUGCAUGGCUGUCGUCAGCUCGUGUUGUGAAAUGUUGGGUUAAGUCCCGUAACGAGCGCAACCCUUGUCCCUAUUUGCCAGCGAUUCGGUCGGGAACUCUAGGGAGACUGCCGGUGACAAACCGGAGGAAGGUGGGGACGACGUCAAGUCAUCAUGGCCCUUACGGGUAGGGCUACACACGUGCUACAAUGGCCGGUACAAUGGGUUGCAAAGCGGCGACGUGGAGCUAAUCCCAUAAAGCCGGUCUCAGUCCGGAUCGGAGUCUGCAACUCGACUCCGUGAAGUCGGAAUCGCUAGUAAUCGUGCAUCAGAAUGGCACGGUGAAUACGUUCCCGGGCCUUGUACACACCGCCCGUCACACCAUGGGAGUGGACUGCACCAGAAGUGGUUAGCCUAA